UCGGACUCAACGCCGGGAAACUCACCAGAUAAGACAGCUGAAUGAUAGUCGGGCUGAAGACUCUACUUGACUAGCUGAGAGGAGGUGCAUGGCCGUCGUCAGUUCGUACUGUGAAGCAUCCUGUUAAGUCAGGCAACGAGCGAGACCCACGCCAACAGUUGCCAGCUCGUCCUCCGGGAUGGUGGGGACACUGUUGGGACCGCCUCUGCUAAAGAGGAGGAAGGAAUGGGCAACGGUAGGUCAGCAUGCCCCGAAUUAUCUGGGCUACACGCGGGCUACAAUGGGUGGGACAAUGGGUAUCGACACCGAAAGGUGAAGGCAAUCUCCUAAACCCAUCCGUAGUUCGGAUUGUGGGCUGCAACUCGCCCACAUGAAGCUGGAAUCUGUAGUAAUCGUGUCUCAAAAUGGCACGGUGAAUAUGUCCCUGCUCCUU
rnacentral:rRNA from 1 species